ensembl:lincRNA
AUGCCAUCUUUUUCAUUGGAAAACAAUCCAAUCAACUUUGCGAAUAAAACGAGACAUCACUGCAAGACAAUAUUACCAGUUUGUCCUUUUCUUAGAAGAUUUGGUGGAUUUUCAUUGAUUCCAUCCUGUUCUUUCAUUUCUUCCUCUGGAGCAGGUGGACUGGCUAAGGUGGGCCUGGAAGACUUACAGGACCUGGUUCUGCCUAUUCGCCACGGCAGGAAGAAGUGGGAUGCAGUCUACGAGUGGGGUUUGGAGGAACCUGAAAAGAGCAGAGCCCUCAGAGGGGAGAUGACGAGCCCAAAGUUCACCAGCAGUGGAGGCAAAACUGAGCCCAGCACCCUGCCUUCUCCUGGACCAUACCCCAGCCUCUGCAGCACCCCGGGACACCUCUUCAUCAAGCAGAGAAAGAAAACAGAAUCUCAGUCAAUGUCAGAACUGGAAUUUGAACCCGCGAAGUCUGAGUCCAGAGCCACACUUGGAGGCACCACAUGGUCCAUGAGACAAGGGUUCCAGGAAAGCAUCGGGGUUUACCAAGAGAUGGGGUACCUUUGAAAUGGUCCCUGAAGGAGAGGGGGGCCCCUGUGGACCUGAGGGACAGAUUAGGCCAUGGGAAUUUUGGAGAGGAGUGGGUUCAGAAUGCUAAGGGCCUCACAUGCCUGGUUAGAGAGUUUGGACUUGACUCCAAAACUCCAAGAACUUGAAAAUAAAUUCUAAAAAAACAGACACAGUUUGGAUGAUUCGGCUUCUUCCCCGCGAACGACUACCCGGGUUUAACUCCAAGACGGAGCUUUUUCUCUGAUUAGCUCGGAUUCCAUACACUUAGCAGUUUCUCUCCAGGACUCAGAUUUAUUUAAGUUCACCAUUAAAAUGCAAGCUGGAAUCUGCUCGAACAUCUCCAUAGCAAUGAAUGUCCUCAAAACCAGCGCCAAUUUUAAUGAUUAAAUUAUCCUUAUUUUAUUUUCGGUUCUUAUAUCUCGACGUUUCCCCACAACUUUAUUACACUUUGACUAAUUUAAUUGUACUUUGCCAACACCAGUGAGGUGUGACCCUCCCCAAAGAGACCUAUUCCAGCUGUGAAAUAGACACAGUUAGGAGAUCUCGAAACACCGUAAUUGUAGCGUUAUGGGGCCUCUUAUCACAACAGUUUUAAAUCACAAAGUAUAAUCUGAAUUCUGCAGAAGAAACUCUUCAGCCCAAGGAAGUUCUAUACAGAUGGCGUGAUUGCAUGAGUGCUAGAAAAUGCCGUUUCAAAGAAAUGGGCUUUUUUCAAUAUUUCGUGAAAUAUUUAAGGAAAAUUGUUGCUGCUUUCAUUGUGGCUGUGAAUAGGACCAGCUUAGGGUCCAGAAAUCAUUACGUGAACCUCAUGUUAUAACUGACAUAAUACAGAUCUUAAAAUAACAGCCACAGAGUCAGUUCUAGUGAAGGGGAUGAACCUAGAGCCUGUUAUACAAAGCGAAGUAAGAAAGAGAAAAACAAAUACCACAUAUUAACACGCAUAUAUGGAAUCUAGAAAAAUGGUACUGAUGAACAGAUUUGCAGGGAAGGAAUGGAGAUGCAGACAUAGAGACUUUUGCACACAGUGGGGGAAGGAAAGAGUGGGACGAACAGAGAAAGUAUAUGCUGUAUAUGCUAUCCUGUGUAAAACAGCUAGCUAGUGAGAAGUUGCUGUAUAACUCAGGGAACCCACCCAGGCACACUAUGACGACCUAGACUGCUGAAAUAGGGGAGGCGGGGAGGCUCAAAAGGGAGGUGAUAUGUGCAUAAUUAUGGCUGAUUUGCAUUAUAGGCAGAAAUCAUCACAACACUCUAAAGCAAUUUUCCUCCAAUUAAAAAAUAAAUUUUAACAAAUAAAAUAAAACAACAGCCCCAGAUGGCCUGUACCAUCCAUGGGCAAUAGCUUUCCCAAGACUCAGAGAGUUUUGACCCACUCGCAAGCUAGGCAAGGUCAGGAGCCUGCCUCAGUGUGGAGGCUCAGAAACUCUUAGAAAAAGAUUUUUAAACUUACUUUAUUCACUUGUUCAAAACUUUCUGACCUGACCAAGGUAUCUCUCAUUCACUCCCUUGGGUAGUGAUGUAGACAUCACCUCCUCCAGGAAGCCUUCCAUGCACUCUACCUCUGAAUCUAAAGCUCUGGGUUCCCAGCAUACAUACUUCCAGAUCAUAGUGUUGUCACCAGAAAUAUCCUAGAGUGCCUAUUUUCUUUCCCUCUCACCUCGGGACCAGGGACUCUGUGGGAGUGAGCCUGAAGCUCGGGUCAAUAAGUAUUGGGCUGAUGUAACUCCUCCUCAGGCCCUGGUUCCUGAGAGUCUCAGAUCCAGAGGAACUCCUGCCAAACUCCCAGAUAGGGGGAUGGUAUUGGAAGCCCACUAAUCUCUCUUGCUGCUAGCCCCCUAGACUGGUCCCACAUCUCCUUUGUUCCCUCUACAGGCUGUAGAGGAAUCAGCCGCAUUUCCCUUUUGGGAGUGGGAGCAGGGAAGGCAAGCCCACUGGAGGUUUCUACUUUUGCUCAGUUGAGAGACAAUUUCCUCGUAACCAGCUCAUCCACCAUAUCUACGUGGGUGUCCCAUUCUACCACCUUCUCCCAACAAAGGGAAGAAAAACGCAGAAGGGAAGACGGUAUCUGCCUAAAGAAUGUGUGGCUCCUUCCACCCAAGAAGGUCUCUCCUCCUGGGCCUGUUUUGCUGCUGGAAGGAGAGAAUCAAGACCUUUCCCCAAAAUAAAUAAAUUCCCUUGAAAAAGGACUAGUGCUUCCCAUAAUCCAGCCUUCUCAUUCAAUUACUCAUUCCGUAGUCAUUUGCUCUGGAUCUUACCUUUUAAUAUAUCACAGAUAUCACAUCCUGAAGAGCUGAGGGGAAAAUAAGACAUUAAACACAGGACUAAUCUUGACCCACAGCCAGGUACUGUCCUGGUAUCUGACUUUAUUUACCUUGCCAUCCUCCUAAAGGGGACACUUUUGUUACUCCAUUUUCCAGAUGAGGAAACUAAGGCAGAAAGCCAUGAGGUAUCUUGUUCAAAGUCUCGUCAUGACUGCUAAGUGGCAGCUCUAGGAUUCAAGUCCAGGAAGCCUAGGUUCUUAGCCACUCCUUCAGGUAAAAACCACCAUCCAUCAUAAUACAGUGGGCUAAUUGCUCCAGUGACAUAUACAUAAACAUUAAUUCUACAGGCAAGUCAAUUUACUGAGGUUUUGAAGGAUGAAUAGGAGUUGGUCUGGGCAAGAAGUGGAGGAAAGGGCAUUCUAUGCUUGAAGAUCAGAGUAAUAUGUUACAUGGCUGAUAUGUGGGGGAUGGGAGGAGCAACGGAAUGUGCAAAAAGGAGACAAAGAGGCAAUUUGUGGUUAGACUCAGAAGAACCUUGCAUAAAAUAAAAUACAAAUACUUCUUCUGCUGCUGCUGCUGCUGCUAAGCCACUUCAGUCAUGUCUGACUCUGUGCGACCCCAUAGACGGCAGCCCACCAGGUUUCCCCAUCCCUGGGAUUCUCCAGGCAAGAACACUGGAAUGGGUUGCCAUUUCCUUCUCCAACGCAUGAAAGUGAAAAGUGAAAGUGAAGUCACUCAGUCGUGUCCGGCUCUUAGUGACCCCAUGGACUGCAGCCCACCAGGCCCUCUGUCCAUGGGAUUUCCCAGGCAAGAGUACUGGAGUCGGGUGCCAUUGCCUUCUCUGCAAAUACUUCUACUAAACUUAAUAAGAAAUGAUAACAACUGUUAUUUGGGUUUUUACCUUCAGUUCAGUUCAGUCGCUCAGUCAUGUCCGACUCUUUGCGACCCCAUGAAUCACAGCAUGCCAGGCCUCCCUGUCCAUCACCAUCUCCCGGAGUUCACCCAAACUCAUGUUCAUUGAGCGGUGAUGCCAUCCAGCCAUCUCAUCCUCUGUCAUCCCCUUCUCCUCCUGCCCCUAAUCCCUCCCAGAAUCAGAGUCUUUUCCAAUGAGUCAACUCUUCACAUGAGGUAGCCAAAGUAUUGGAGUUUCAGCUUUAGCAUCAGUCCUUCCAAAGAACACCCAGGACUGAUCUCCUCACAUUAUCAGGUCAUAUAUUCUACUUUAUUAUAAAGAAAAUCUUGUCUAAGGUAGUUUAAAACCUACUGGCGAUCAACUUUCUUCACAGUCCAACUCUCACAUCCAUACAUGACCACUGGAAAAACCAUAGCCUUGUCUAGACGGACCUUUGUUGGCAAAGUAAUGUCUCUGCUUUUGAAUAUGCUAUCUAGUUUGGUCAUAACUUUCCUUCUAAGGAGUAAGUGUUUUUUAAUUUCAUGGCUGCAAUCACCAUCUGCAGUGAUUUUGAGCCCAGAAAAAUAAAGUCUGACACUGUUUCCACUGUUUCCCCAUCUAUUUCCCAUGAAGUGAUGGGACCAGAUACCAUGGUCUUAGUUUUUACCUUAUUUCCUUUCCUUCCCCCUUUUUGUAAGCAUUAAAGAAAGGACUCUGGAGAGCUAUAGGGCUUUGGCAUGUCCAUUCAGGUAACCUUCACUGUGGACCUAUAAUGGGUGAGGAACCAGCAGGUGUGACUCUGCUUCCAGGAGUCCACAGACUAGAUGGGGAGGUCUACAAGGCCAUGAGCCCCCACUACACAGUGGGGACAGAUACAGAGGGGCUAUGGCUUCAUACAAGGACCCAGUCUCCCCAUUGUUUAUAAUUAGAGAAUCCCAGAAGUUCACGUAAUCUGUAACCUAAAAGAUGAAUCUUGAAAUAGCAGAGCAUUAUUCCUCCACAAGAUUAUUUUUAAAAUGUACUCAUCAGAUGUAUUUAUACCCUGCAUCCUUCAAUUUUUUAAAAAAAAAAAAACAGAUUUGAGGACAGCCAACAUGAAACAAG